UGACUGUCUGUCUUCUGCUUACCGCUACAGUGUGGAACAUGGUGGAGAGAACACAAUGAAACCUGGGCUUAGAAAAUAUGUCUGUGAUCUCACACUGGACCAAAACACAGUAGACAGACUCCUCUCUCUGUCUGAGGAGAACAGAAAGGUGACAUGGAGGAGAGAGGAGCAGCCGUAUCCUGAUCCCCAGAGAGAUUUGAGGUCUGUAGACAGGUGCUGUGUAGAGAGGGUCUGACUGGUCGCUGUUACUGGGAGGUAGAGUGGAGUGGUAUAAUGGGGUCUGAUUUAGGAGUGACAUAUAAAGGAAUCAGCAGGAGAGGAUGGGGAGAUGACUGUUGUCUUGGAUGGAAUGACAAGUCCUGGAGUCUGACCUGCUCUGACAACAAUUACACUGCCUGGCACAAUAAGAAACCUACCUACAUAGACGUCCCCUCCUCCAGCUCCCACAGAGUAGGAGUGUAUCUGGACUGGCCAGCCGGCACUCUGUCCUUCUACAGAGCCUCCUCUGACACACUGACCCACCUGAUCACAUUCACCUCCACAUUCACUGAGCCCCUCUAUCCAGGGUUUAGGGUUUAUAAUGUUGACUCCUCAGUGUCCCUGUAAAUAAUAACCUGACACACACACACACACACU